rnacentral:lncRNA from 1 species
GUUUUGGGAAUAAUAAGGAAUAUUACUAGGACUUUGUCUGGGUGUUCUAGAACCAACCUAAUGCACAUAUCUUAAUAUAUUGAUCACAUGGUUAUUUAAACUUUACAGAUUGCACAGACUUUUUGCGAUCUGGUCAAAAGAUUUAGUAUAUAUUUUGUUUUGUUAAAAAAAUAUUUUUACUGUUUCAUUUUAUGUAUUCUACUCAUUUCG